rnacentral:tRNA from 1 species
UCUAAUAUGGCAGAUUAGUGCAAUGAAUUUAAGCUUCAUAUAUAAAGAAUACCUCUUUUAUUAGAA